AGGGGAAUUUGUGAAAUUACUGCUAAUAAUUUUGUGUCAGUUAAUUCUGACUUCUCCUU
rnacentral:tRNA from 1 species